rnacentral:tRNA from 1 species
CAGAAAAUAGUUUAUACAAAACAAAAACUUUGGGAGUUUUAGAUUUAGAUUUCUAAUUUUCUGA